rnacentral:rRNA from 1 species
CAGUCGCCGCGGGAAAACGAAGGGGGCUAGCGUUGUUCGGAAUUACUGGGCGUAAAGCGCACGUAGGCGGAUAUUUAAGUCAGGGGUGAAAUCCCAGAGCUCAACUCUGGAACUGCCUUUGAUACUGGGUAUCUUGAGUAUGGAAGAGGUGAGUGGAAUUCCGAGUGUAGAGGCGAAAUUCGUAGAUAUUCGGAGGAACACCAGUGGCGAAGGCGGCUCACUGGUCCAUUACUGACGCUGAGGUGCGAAAGCGUGGGGAGCAAACAGGAUUAGAUACCCGCGUAGUCCCUGUCUCUUAUAC